rnacentral:rRNA from 1 species
UACGGAGGGUGCAAGCGUUAUCCGGAUUUACUGGGUUUAAAGGGUGCGCAGGCGGUUAUGUACGUCAGUGGUGAAAUCUCCGGGCUUAACCCGGAAACUGCCGUUGAUACUAUAUAUCUUGAAUGCUGUGGAGGUAAGCAGAAUAUGUCAUGUAGCGGUGAAAUGCUUAGAGAUGACAUAGAAUACCUAUUGCGAAGGCAGCUUACUACGCAGAUAUUGACGCUCAUGCACGAAAGCGUGGGGAGCAAACAGG